UACAGAGGUCUCAAGCGUUGUUCGGAUUCAUUGGGCGUAAAGGGUGCGUAGGUGGCGGGGUAAGUCAGAUGUGAAAUCUCGGAGCUCAACUCCGAAACUGCAUUUGAUACUGCCUUGCUUGAGUACUGGAGAGGAGAUUGGAAUUUACGGUGUAGCAGUGAAAUGCGUAGAUAUCGGAGAAGACACCAGUGGCGAAGGCGG
rnacentral:rRNA from 1 species